rnacentral:rRNA from 1 species
GUCUAUGGCCAUGCCACCCUCAACAAGCCCAAUCUUGUCUGAUCUCGGAAGCUAAGCAGGGUUGGGCCUGGUUAGUACUUGAAUGGGAGACCAUCUAGGAAGACCAGGUGGUGUAGGCG